AUGAACGCUGUCUACAGGCUUAACACAUGCAAGUCGAGGGGAAACGACGGGGAAGCUUGCUUCCCCGGGCGUCGACCGGCGCACGGGUGAGUAACGCGUAUCCAACCUGCCUCUGACUGAGGGAUAACCCGUCGAAAGUCGGCCUAAUACCUCAUGGCAUCGUCUGCGGGCAUCCAACGACGAUUAAAGAUUUCAUCGGUCAGGGAUGGGGAUGCGUCUGAUUAGCUUGUUGGCGGGGUAACGGCCCACCAAGGCUACGAUCAGUAGGGGUUCUGAGAGGAAGGUCCCCCACAUUGGAACUGAGACACGGUCCAAACUCCUACGGGAGGCAGCAGUGAGGAAUAUUGGUCAAUGGGCGGGAGCCUGAACCAGCCAAGUAGCGUGCAGGAUGACGGCCCUAUGGGUUGUAAACUGCUUUUAUGCGGGGAUAAAGUGAGGGACGUGUCCUUCAUUGCAGGUACCGCAUGAAUAAGGACCGGCUAAUUCCGUG
rnacentral:rRNA from 1 species